GAUGAACGCUGGCGGCGUGCCUAAUACAUGCAAGUCGAGCGAACAGAUAAGGAGCUUGCUCCUUUGACGUUAGCGGCGGACGGGUGAGUAACACGUGGGUAACCUACCUAUAAGACUGGGAUAACUUCGGGAAACCGGAGCUAAUACCGGAUAACAUUUGGAACAGCAUGGUUCUAAAGUGAAAGAUGGUUUUGCUAUCACUUAUAGAUGGACCCGCGCCGUAUUAGCUAGUUGGUAAGGUAACGGCUUACCAAGGCGACGAUACGUAGCCGACCUGAGAGGGUGAUCGGCCACACUGGAACUGAGACACGGUCCAGACUCCUACGGGAGGCAGCAGUAGGGAAUCUUCCGCAAUGGGCGAAAGCCUGACGGAGCAACGCCGCGUGAGUGAUGAAGGGUUUCGGCUCGUAAAACUCUGUUAUUAGGGAAGAACAAAUGUGUAAGUAACUGUGCACGUCUUGACGGUACCUAAUCAGAAAGCCACGGCUAACUACGUG
rnacentral:rRNA from 1 species